GGGUUUUAGAUCUCCAAAACCUCCCAACGAACAGUACAGGGCACCUCCUUCCUCUUCUUCUUGUCUUCCCAAUCCGAAACGGUGUCUCGUGACAAGCAAUGGCCUCCUUUGUUUCUGCGAGAUCCAUUUUCCGGUCAGCCUCCGUCCGCAACGCGGCGGCGAAGCUCGCCUCCGAAGCUAAGGCCGCCCGUUCCCCGUUUCGCGCCGCCACCAACAGGCCAGCAUCCCGUCUCAUUUCGAGGACCCCGGUGGAGGCAAGCGCCUGUGUGGAGUCGAUGAUGCCUUACCACAACGCAACUUCCUCUGCAUUGAUGACUUCGAUGCUCUCCAUCACUCGCCGCACCUACGGUUGGCUUCCCGAAGGUAUCUAGCGAUCACUUGUAGACCUCUUGAUGUCCCUUGCUUGCUUUAUAUUUCUGGCGGAGAGAAGACUAGAUGAAGAGCGAGGAGCAAAGACAGAACAGUUUAAUGUUUUGCCAUAGCAUUUUAAAACUUGCAACGAUGAUGUGUGAUGACUGGUCCGAUGAUUCAGUAGAGCACAAAAUAAGGAUUCUAGGACUCGUCAAAAUAGAUAUUGAAUCAGAUGUUGGUGAGACCUGCUUCUCGCAUUCCCAGGGAACAGAUAACAUGGAUCUGUGUAGGCUUCCGGGGACCUUUUACUUGGGAGAUAUUCGAUAUCAUCUUUGCUUUUCUGAUGCUAUGGAGGAUUAAUCUAGAUGGCGAGUAGAGCGAUCAUGGAGCAUCUGUGUACAAUAUGAAUGGAUAUGUGAUCAUUUAGAAAGCACAAAUGGUUUUUACGUAAUGUUGCCUCUCGUAUUAUGUGUCGGAUGAAAUGGUUCCGGCAUGUUGUGUUGUUUACACGACUUCUGUUCGCCUAUAUUUUGGUCGGAAGGUGUGAGAAUUCUGGCCAUGUGUUCAUUGACUAUCGCAUGGCAAAGCUCUCGCAGGGCUUUCUUUCAAUGGACACGGUAAUGUUAAUCAA